rnacentral:rRNA from 1 species
GAUGAACGCUGGCGGCGUGCCUAAUACAUGCAAGUCGAGCGAACGGACGAGAAGCUUGCUUCUCUGAUGUUAGCGGCGGACGGGUGAGUAACACGUGGAUAACCUACCUAUAAGACUGGGAUAACUUCGGGAAACCGGAGCUAAUACCGGAUGAUAUUUUGAACCGCAUGGUUCAAAAGUGAAAGACGGUCUUGCUGUCACUUAUAGAUGGAUCCGCGCUGCUUUAGCUAGUUGGUAAGGUAACGGCUUACCAAGGCAACGAUGCAUAGCCGCCCGGAGAGGGGAACGGGCCCCCUUGGAACUAGACACGGGCCCGGCCCCCAAGGGGGGGCCGAGGAAGGGAACUUUCCCGAAUGGGGCAAAGCCUGCCGGGGCAAGCCGCGGUGAGGGAUGAAGGUCUUCGGAUCGUAAGACCUUGUUAAUGUGGAAAAACAUAGUGGUAAGGGAAUGUGCACAUCUUGACGGUACCUAAUCAGAAAGCCACGGCUAACUACGUG